UUUUUUUUUUUUUUUUUUCAGUUUUAUUUCAAACAUUGAGAGUACUGAUUUGCACAUGGUAGUUCUGAGUCAGGCCAAGGGUUUUGAGAUUUCUGACAUCUUCCACUGAAAAGGGCUUUCACUGUAGUUGUUUUGUUGUUUGUUGUGGGUCACUUGAGUUUAAAAGAAAUUGCUAGCCAAAAACUGAAAUCAAAUCAACAUGACUAAAAUAAGUGGGUGAAAUGGUAUAGAACAUUACUGCAUUCCCAUUGGAUCAAGAUGGUUUCGCCCAUUUUUUCCUCUUUCACUAACACUGUUCCUUUUUUCUUUGUUACAAUCCAUUCCUUGUGAACAUACAGAAAUGACCAAAGUCACUGCAAGUGGCUGUUUUUAUUUUUUGUGAUCUGUUGCAAGAGUCCAACCUUGUUUCCUCUGCUGCUGUUCCUGUAGCAUCUGGUUUUGUAAUGAGCAUCUGGAUUUGUUAUGUGCAUGUGUGUGUAUAUGCACAUAUACACACCUAUACAUGUAUAAUAUAUACACUAUAUAUAUAUGGAUAUAUAUAGGAAGUGUGUAUACAUUUAUACAUAAUAUAGUGUAUAUUGUUUCAACUGGAGAUAAACUGAACUGGGUUCAGACACUAGCACGUGUUUAUCUUUCCCCUGCUCCCUCUGUACAUUUUAAACAGUCUGGAGCUUUUAUUUAUUUUUUUAAAGUGCAUUUUCAAUGCAGAAUAACUGUCAUCCACUGAUUCCUUGGAAAACAUUUUUGAUGAGAAAAAUCUGACGGUUCGCAGCCCCCAGCAAAAGAAACCCGGGUUUGGUCGUGCCAGGGGCUGACGUGGCAGUGCCAGGCUCGUGCCUGAGUGAUUACUGGGUGUUCUGGACUCCGGGCACCUUAGCAGCAGCAGCAGCAGCACCUUGACGAGAAGGCAGAGAUAGAAGAGGAAGAAGGAAGGAAAGCUCGGAUGAGGAAGCAUGAGUUUAGGGUGUGUUCCAGGUUGCAGGUGUUAACUUUGUGUGGAUUUGUGCAGUCUCUGCUUGGCUUCGGCUAAGAGAUACCACCUAGUCCCCUCUCCACCAACGGACACUACCCUCCUCACGCCCCGCUUGCUCAGGCGUCCCCACUUCCGAGGCCAACUUGGGAGUCAGCUCCCCGUGGGGAUGUGAGUGCCAGCGUCCAGUAGGAAUAAGGCACCAGAGAAAUCAAAAUGUUACAAAAAGAUGCAAAACCCCAUUUCUAAGAGCCUCUCCCAUUGCUCCAUUAAAAUAUUGCAUGUGAUACCAUUCGUGUGUACUUCAAGUGUGUCGAAUGCAGUCUCUGAAAGGAACCGGAGGCCCUUCAGCACCAGAGAUCUUUAGGAAUGCACCCUUGGUCGAAACACACCCACUCCCCCCACCCCCACACCCGCCCCACGCCACACACAAGAGCACCAAAUUGGGAGAACAAGGCUGCUUGCCAUUGCUCACCUCAGUUUUGAUAAAGAUCAAAGAAGUCUAUGAAAUAAAAAUUUCAGCAGUUGCCUUAAAAUUAAAUGGGUUUAGGCUGUCAGUAUCUGGUGGCUUGAGGCUCUAAGUGUCCACAGAGCAUGAUGAGGGGGUUGAACUGUUUGUGUUAAUGUUUGGGGGAACGUGCUAAACAAAAAUUACUUCCUAAACAACACCCAAGUCCUCCACUAAGACUUUAACCUCCCCUAAUUUUUUUAAAUAUUGUAAAAAGAAAGAGGUUCCUCAAACUAUAAAAGGAAAAAAUGAAGGCACAUGAUUUUAUUCGGUCCCACAGUCCUUAAGAAAAAUGGUAUUUUGCAAAUGUGUGUGUGAGUGUGUGUGUGUGUGUACAUGUACAUGCAUGUGCACAUGAAACGGGAGUCCAAGGGCCAUUGAGGCAGUAGUCCAAGGGGAGCUGGAAAAGAACAAGAGAGAAUUUUGAGACAGAGAGAAGAAAGGAGAAAGGAGGAAACAGAGGCCUCUCUUCAGCUUUCUGUCAUUGACAGUCUCAAGAUUUGGCUGCUUUAGGGUCCAGAACGGAAUUCAUUUGUCUUGGUCUAGAAAGUGCCCCCAGUUAAAUAUCUCCAGUUAAUCGUGUUACAGCUUUUGGUGUUUCCCUUUUCCCUUCCCUCCAGCCAAAUGAUUUUUUAAAGAAAUCACAGUUUUUAAAAGUUAUUUUUUCAAUGUUGAAAAACAUGGAAAAGCUACUGAACAGCCUUAGGCACUCUGCCUCUCCAUCUUCACAGUGAGCAGAUGGACGGACAAUCCACGGUGUCAAAGAUGAGGCAGGCAAGAUCCCUUGUGCUAGAGGGUCCCUUGCCCUACCUCUCCCGAGAGGCUGGAAGUACCUGCGCAGCACUGACAGCCGUUCCUUUUCAACUGGAUCUUCCCUCCCCCUACCCCCUCCAUGGAAGGUGCUGGGCUCGAGAGAGGCUGAGCCACUCAUGGAGAGUGAUGGAAAUAGGAGGGUCUGAGAAGCCAAGGGUGGAAGCCGUGGGGGGCUCUCUCCUCAGGCAGGUCAGCACUGUGCUCUCUGCAGCCUCGAUGCAGGAUGGGGAAAACGUGGGUGCCCGCUGAGUAGUGGAGGUCCCACUCACACGCACUUCAUGAGACCUCAACUCUCAGGCUCACCACCUUCGUGCCUCCGUUGCAUCAGAGCUGGCCCUGGUCCUUAUGAAGGCAACGGAACAAGACAGAGAGGCAGAGUCAACUGGCUACAUCACACAAAAAGGGGCUACUACGGACAGUGGGAUCUCAGAAACAAAUUUAACUUUGGUUUUCUGACUUUUUCAAACCAUGAAAAUUAAAGCAGGGUUUCAGUGGCUUCGUUCAUCUGACAGCUGUGACAUUUUUUCUCAUUUGGCAAGGCUAAGGUGGGGGGAAGAGAAAAGGGGUUUCCCAUAAUUGGUCGAAGACACAGGGUGGUAAAAUGCUUCCACACUUAAACUCACAGUCCAGUGUUUUUGACAUUUCAUAAAUAGCUUUUUUUUUUCUCUCUAAAAAAAGAAUAAAACAAGAACAAUCCCUUUACUUACUCAUCUGAAACAAAAUAAACAGCAGUGGGUACAAACUUCUUCUUGUAACAAUUACAAAAAACAACAAUAUAAUCCCAACUUUUAACACGCAUCUUGAAUCAGUUAUUUUUUUUUUAACCUCAAAACUGCAGCAUAUCCUUAAGGGCAAACUUUUCGAUUAGUUUUUUUCUUUUUUUUUUAAAUAAUGUCUUCACCAAAAAAACAGUCUUGUACCAAUAAAAUGCAUUCAAAAAUAGAAAAUAUUACACAACAAAAAUAUGUAUCCUUCCUUUCCAAAAAAGAUUCUUCACAAAAAAAUGUAGAAAAAAUUCCAACAAUUUUUUUCCUCUCCUAAACAUUAACUUUCAGUCUAGGGCACAAUUAUUUAUUGAUUUAAAUGUCUGCUUUUGCAUAAAACAUGGAAGAUGCAAAACAAUUACUGUAUUAGGUUUGUGAAGUUACAUCCACUCCCACCCCAACUCUAAAACAAAACAAAACCAGAAAAACCCAGCAAACGUGAAACAAAAGAUACAGUUGGUUGACUGGAUGAAAUCUCUUUCCUUCCAUCGUGCCUUUGUGUGGGUUAACUGGCUCUGUUGGUAUCUAGGAAUGCUCGAGAAGGGGAUCAGGGUGGAGUCAAGAGGUUCUUUAGCAUUAAAUGAUGUCCUAAGGAGUCACUUGCAGUCUCCCGUGUUUUGGGGCUUAUCUGCUGCAAAUCCUCAUGGAGAAAAGAAACACAUGAGGAUGGGCAGAGGACUUAACUGUGUUCAUAUGGGUACCUCUACACAAGCCAGUUUCUCCACCAUUGCACGUAUUUCCCUCCUUACCAUGGAGUUCAGGCGUGGGAUGAAAGGUAACGGAGAGCUCCAGUGGUACACGGAAGGCUGGGGCUAUUUCCUCUGUGGUCACGUCAUCCGUAUUUAACUGGUUUGGACAUUAACUGGAGCAAUGACAUGAUCUCAAAUCUCAAAGGAAUGCCCUAUUUUCCCAUUCCCAUAUUGAACCCAGGCAUCGUUUCUAUUUCACUGUGGUAGCUUAACGAUACAUAUUUCUUAUUUGAUGGUAUUUCUCUUUUGCGUGGGAUGCGUUUUGUAUAUGUAUUCAGUACAAAUGGAUUUUUUUUCCCCCAAGCAUUUUUCCCCUGUUGCUUAUUUGGUUGCUGGUUUUUUCUUUGCGGUUUUUGUUCUGUUUCGUUUCUGAUUUUUUAAACAGUGAAAUAUGUCCAAUUUUAUUUCCAGUGCAUUAAACACAUUUUAAAUUAAAAAAAGAAAUAAAACUUUCCCCUCAUCCUUCUAAAGGAAAUGACUGAUAAAAGUACAAUAUAAUAAAAUCAGGCAUUGCCAAAAAUAGCAUGAUGUGCAACCUCAAUUACAUCAAGAAAAACAAACAGACAAACGAGAAUUAUAAACCGUAAGCAAGAAGGAGCCAAGACUAUAUAAUCCCAACUAUGGUAUGAUUGGCAAGCACUGGUUAAAAAUAGGUAAGGCUACUCUUAGAUUUCUAACUCAACAUAGUUAACCACUGCUCUUCUGUCUUUUCUUUCAACUCUUAAUCUUUCACUCACUAGUUCUUUAUAUCUUUAAAAUGAACAAAUUUGUUUUUAUAUUUUUGGUCUACAGUAGAAUUACAUAUUAAUAAUAUAAUAAAAAGGUAUUUCAUUAACAGGUUGGUACUGCAUCCAUGUGGAGAAAAUAGAGAAAAAGCACUCAAACAAACAUAGCAAAUGGACGCUACUUUUACAAAAAUAACCACAAAUAUAAUAGAAAUUAUAAACAGGGCAACAGACUGAACUGAAAGAUAUAUUUGGGGUAAUACAAACUCCUGAUAAGCUAUGCCCUAGAAUCGCAGCCUCCAAACCUUUCCUGUGAUGUCCACCUUUCCAUAGUAUCACUUGAAAUUCAAAUGGAAAUGGAAACAAAAUGAAAAUAAAGUGGACAGGUGGCUGGGCCAACCAAAGCUUCCAAGUUAUCUUAGUUGACUGGUCAAGACCAGCUGGAUAGCAUUUGAGAAACUGGUAGGCCACAGGGGAGACACUGAUGGUAUUUGUUUUUAAUUUUGGAGGAGUUCCCAGCCCACUGAUAAAGAGAGAAACCAAGGAACCAAAUAAUUCUUCUGGUAACAUAUAAUAUACGAGAUGAAAUAGAACUGCAAUAAAGGGGACAUGGGGGUGAGGUGGGAAAGAGAAGAGAGAGGAGAAAUAGGCAAACUUGGGGCACCACCAUCCUUUGUUUUCUGCAACACAUUGGUUCCCUUCUUUCUGAGCAUCCUUCAGUAUUAGCUACAGGCCCCAAUGUCCUGUGAGCAAACAUGCGUUGGCUCAGCUCUUGGCCUGACCUCUAUACUUAUUGGCUUUCCUAAGGGCUUGAUGGCUCCGGAGGCUCCCUGCCGCCACUGCCCCAUGCCUUUGAUGAAGCAGAGAAGGAGUGCAAAGUUGUGAUGACAGAGGCCCUUUACACUAACCAUUCCCACUUCACUGGUUUUUUCACACUGACGGUCCAGUGUGGGAAAAUAAGAAGGAAAGGAAUUCAUAAGAGUUGAGCUUGGUCAUCAAGCGUAAAGUUUACUUCCAGGAAAACAAAGAAAAAAACCCCCAAAAUCCAAGAUGAAGAAGAAGAAGAAGAGGGUGACAAUGACAAAGAAAUGGCAUCAGUCAGAAAAUACUGCUUUUGGUUUCUUUUAACUUUGAAUCGUCCUUGGUUUUUCUCUCAUUCAACUGCUCCAGUUUAAAGUAAAGUUUAGAAUCUAGUGCAAAUAUCAUCACAUCAUACCAUUCCAGGAGCAAUACCGUAUCCCUUCAUCCUAAGUGAAUACUAUCCCUUCGGACCUCCUCAGAAGACUGGGGGCAAUGAUCCAGAAAAGCACAACUGAACAGAUUAUUAAUCUAGUACUCACUACAACAAGAAAGGCACUAUCACAACAGAUCAGCCUCAGCAUUUUCCUUGCCGUGGGCAUGGAUGUUUUAACCUCUCCACUAACCACAAUGAAACCCAGACUGUGGCUUUUUCAGUACUUGAAUCCACUGACCAGUUGUCUGACUUCCCCACUGGCCACUCCUCUUGGCUCUGGCCAUGCACAGCCCUGAUCUGCUCUGUGUCCAUGUUGCCCCACGUUUCACCAAUGAUCCUUGAGUGGUUCUAAAUGAUUUAGCUCACUCUCUUCCAUGGAGGUUUCUUUCUCUCCAUCAGUCUCCAGGUCAUCAUGACUCUAUUAAAGACUAGUUUACAGUGUCAGGUACUAUCGUUUAUUAUUUUUUUUCCUAUUUUUUAAUCCUCUAACCAAACCCUAAGUCAUAAAGACAGUUCAGUAGCUCCUCUAGCAACAAGUCUCUUGUCAAUAUCACUGUGAACAGAAUGAAAGCCAAAGUAUCACCCCCUGACCACCUUGAGCUUGCUGUAUUACUUCUGUUUGGGAGAGAGGAGGUUGGGCUCUGGAAAUUAAAAUCUUUGGUGACAAAACUGGAGUGGGUUUGCAAGUUUCAAGGAAGAAGUUAUUUUCCAAAAGCCUCAAGAGAAGUAACCUAGGACAGUUAAUGUGAAUGUAUUUUAAAAGGUCAAUUAUUUCUUUCUGUAACUUUGGUCUGGUAUAGUCAGUAUCUUCUCAGUGCUUACCCAACACACAGCUCUGUUAAGAGCUCUGAAUUUAGAGUUUCUUAUUUAAAAGGGAGAUAAUACUUUGAGUGCUUAAGGGAUUGCUUACGUUAGUUCUGAAAGCUCUAAAUGGAGUUUUUCUGCCUAACAAGGCUGACAGCUUCCUUCACCAUCUUUUAACUUGGAAAAGUAGACUUGGAAGGAUGCUAAGGAGGAGAGAGAAAGAGCUACCUAUCAAUGUAAGAGGUCUCAACGGAGAGUUUUCCCAAUUGAUGCCCCAACAUGACAGUGAUCAGAGAAACUCAACAUUUUACCCAUUGAUGUGGGUUGUGAUCCUUUCUUACUGAACCAGAAUCUUCAAAGCUGUCACCGUGGAUUCUGGAAGAAUCCUUCAGCAUCUUCACUCUUUUGUUAUUAUUCCCUAUACAAUCUAUUGCUUUUCCUGUGGUGAAAGAUUCUUUUAUUAAUAGUCACGAAAGAGCUGUCAAAUUCUAAUUAUUUCUAAGAUUUAGAAAGGCAAUAAAAAUAAAUCCAAUAAAGAAAAGUUGAAUAAAAGAAACCCAACAACUUCAAAACUAGGCUUUUAGGCACUGUUAAGGUCUUCUGCUUUAUAAGGGAUAGCCUAUGAUGGAGCAGCUAGCUAGUCAGGAGGUUUGGAUCAAUCCUCCAAUACAUCCUCCAAUUUCAAGGUUGGCCUAGCUUGUCUCAGAAUAAACCUUUUAUCUCACUGGUUUUCAAUGGUUAUUGCACUGUCCCCUUACUGUCAUCUUUAAAGGAUUUCACCACAUGCAUGGCCUUCCUCUUUGGUUAGCCUGAUCCAGGUUUCAGCCAGUGAUGGAAAAGCAAGCUCAGGCUGAAAGGAUAUCUCCAUUGUGGACAAGGUGAGGUUAUUCUAAGAGGAGGCCAUACCUCCGGGCCAAGGCGAAGACAUCUGGCCACCUCGGUUGGCUUCCUCACCAUCACAGCGCUUACUGAAGGCUUAGUUGGAGACGAACAUUGGGCAAACUUCUCCUUCAGCAUCUUCAGUUUACAGUACUAACUCAGCUUCUUUAUAACAAGAAAAUAGAUCCUAUCAGCGUGGCCGUUUCUAGGCCUGAUCAAGGGCUGGCAGCUUGCACAGAUUCUCACCAACCCUGCUAUGACCAAGCAUGAUGGAAAUAACCCUCCGUUUUUGUGGUGCUUCUAGUUUCAUAACUUGCCUCUUUCUUUCCCAUACCUCACACACUCUCUCCCGGCACAAGUAAAUACAUUUCAGUAGUGCAAUGCAGUGCAGUCAUAUUUAUUUAGU
rnacentral:lncRNA from 1 species